AUAUUUUUCUAAAGCGCUAAAUUCGGUAAAUUUGCGUUUCCUCGACGAAAUCGGUGAACGAAAGCGUGCAUAUUAAAGUGUUCACAUCAGAUUAAAAUGCUCGUCGGAAAAACUCGGUAUUUGUCGUAUUUGACGAAUCUGUCACGACAGUCACGUGAUUUACCACCGCCCGUACACGGUUCACCGUACACCGCGACACGAAAUUUACAGCUAUAUGAAAGUUGCAUGCCCAUAUAUGGGCAUGCAACAAAAAUUGAAAUUUUUGCGCGUAUGUCGCCACCCAGAUCACGCCUACAUAUGUCGUCAUGGAAACGGAGAGUUACUAAGGUCACAAAAUAGUCACGAGGUCAUACAGUAUAUUUAAAAUGGCGGAAUAUUGUAACGUGUUGUUGCAUUCUAAAGCUUUUAUUUUGAAUUUAGUUGUUUUAUAUAUGUUCAUCUGGUGAAAUAACAAGUGUAAUGAACCGCAAAGAGGUAAGAAUACUCGCUUUAUAUAUAAUUUAAAGCGAUCGUGCUUACAAACGCGUAUUAUUUAAAUUACAACUUUGACCACAUGUGACGGUUUUAUAGAAUGUUCGGUAAUAGAAAUUGUCAUGAUUUCUGCUUAUACUGAAAAAUUAUUUUGCAGCUAUUCAUAUUCAUAUUUUUUUGCAGCUAAUUAUUUAGCAGCCAUUGAAUUAUUGCAGCUAUUCAAUGUACUGUUCUCGUAAGGAGAUAUUUAUCAUAUCUCUAAGAAAUAAAAAGUCUAUGAAGAUUUCUAGUAGGUCUCUAGCCCAACAUCUUCAAAUUAUUGUAAUAUAUUUUAAGUAGAUUUUUAUACAUGGGAAAAUAAAUUAAAAAAAAAAAAAAAAAAAAAAAAAAUGGGCCCCAUAUAUGAUUUUUAAACUGAUGUUCCCAUUAUGUUUUGCACGCUUAGGUUUAAAGGUUCAAGGUUUAGAGUUCACGGUUUUUGAAAAGACAACCUUUUUUGAAUUAGCUGUAUAUAUACUAAGGUUCAAACCUUGAUUCAAACUAUGCAGUUUUAGAUCAUGCUGUCUAUACAGUGUUUACUUUAGUAUUUUAUUUUCCUAACUUUUUAUAUUCCUAAUUAUUUUAACCUAAUAUAUAUAUAGGGAUCAUGUAAAUCAGUCUGACUGUACUGAUUUUGCCUAAAUAGAGCUUUUAGUAUUACAUCUUCCACUUGGUUUGUUUUAACGUCAUAUUUGUAUAUAUAUAGGCCGCAGAUGGUCUUGAUAGCGACGAACCUGGUGAUCCCGGCCCAACAGGAGAUCAGGCAAGUAAAUGUUUUUUAUUAUUUAGCAAACCAGUAACUGUGGAAAUUAAUUCCUGGACUAUUGAAAUUUCCCGAUACAAUGCCCAGCGGGCAAAAUGACGUUUAUCCAACGUUGAAUCAACGUUGGAAAUGACCUCCCAGACGUUGGAUAGACGUUGAGAAAGGGUUGACUAUGCAAAUUGGAUCAACGUUACUGUUUCGACGUUGAAACAACAUUGAAAUUAGGUUGCCAAUCUCGUCAACCAUAAUUCAACGUUGAAUCCACGUUAAAACAACGUUGAGAUUGGUUCACAAAUCGACGUCGUACAUUUAAC
rnacentral:lncRNA from 1 species